rnacentral:rRNA from 1 species
AUUGAACGCUGGCGGAAUGCUUUACACAUGCAAGUCGAGCAGCAGCGCGGGGCAACCUGGCGGCGAGCGGCGAACGGGUGAGUAAUGCAUCGGAACAUGUCCAGUCGUGGGGGAUAGCCCGCCGAAAGGCGGAUUAAUACCGCAUACGCCCGGGAGGGGAAAGCGGGGGACCUGCAAGGGCCUCGCGCGAUUGGGUUGGCCGAUGUCCGAUUAGCUAGUUGGUGGGGUAAAGGCCCACCAAGGCGAUGAUCGGUAGCUGGUCUGAGAGGAUGAUCAGCCACACUGGGACUGAGACACGGCCCAGACUCCUACGGGAGGCAGCAGUGGGGAAUUUUGGACAAUGGGGGCAACCCUGAUCCAGCCAUUCCGCGUGAGUGAAGAAGGCCUUCGGGUUGUAAAGCUCUUUUGUCCGGAGCGAAACGGUUGUGGUGAAUAUCCACGACUACUGACGGUACCGGAAGAAUAAGCACCGGCUAACUACGUGCCAGCAGCCGCCGCCGUAA